GACGAACGCUGGCGGCGUGCUUAACACAUGCAAGUCGAGCGGUAAGGCCCUUUCGGGGGUACACGAGCGGCGAACGGGUGAGUAACACGUGGGUGACCAGCCUCCUAGCUCUGGGAUAAGCCUGGGAAGCUGGGUCUAAUACCGGAUAUGACCUCGCGGUGCAUGUUGCGGGGUGGAAAGCCUUGUGCGGCUAGGGAUGGGCCCGCGGCCUAUCAGCUUGUUGGUGGGGUGAUGGCCUACCAAGGCGACGACGGGUAGCCGGCCUGAGAGGGCGACCGGCCACACUGGGACUGAGACACGGCCCAGACUCCUACGGGAGGCAGCAGUGGGGAAUCUUGCGCAAUGGGCGAAAGCCUGACGCAGCGACGCCGCGUGAGGGAUGACGGCCU
rnacentral:rRNA from 1 species